rnacentral:lncRNA from 1 species
GGCGUCUAGACUCAAAUACACACAAAACGAAGCUACGUAUUGUCAUGCCUGUGCCUUGUUUAUUGUUUUAUUUAGACUUUUAAUAGUUUGAAUAAAUAUUUUACAUUGUUAUAAAUCAGAUAUGAGAAUUUGAUUAGAAUCGGUGAAAUAGAAUUUGACAGCUCAUGCCCCUUUGACAAUUGCUAAAAAUAAAAAAUUCGAAGUUGAUCUGUAACAUGUCAUGAUAAAACAAGCAGCAAAUAUUAAAACAAUAGCUUCAAUGUUUGACUGUCCCUCUGGUAUCUUUCGUCUCUCUUUCCUGCACGGAGGGAAAAAAACAUAUUGAAAACUGAUGUAGAUAUAGGAAGAUGUGGUGUGAGUGCCAAUGAGACAACUCUCCGUCCAAAUAACAAUUUUAAAAAAGUAAACCAUUAUAGGUCAAUGUACGGCCUUCAACACGGAGCCUUGGCUCACACCUAACAACAAGCUAUAAAGGGC